AUUGAACGCUGGCGGCAGGCCUAACACAUGCAAGUCGAGCGGAUGAAGGGAGCUUGCUCCUGGAUUCAGCGGCGGACGGGUGAGUAAUGCCUAGGAAUCUGCCUGGUAGUGGGGAUAACGUCCGGAAACGGGCGCUAAUACCGCAUACGUUCUGAGGGAGAAAGUGGGGGAUCUUCGGACCUCACGCUAUCAGAUGAGCCUAGGUCGGAUUAGCUAGUUGGUGGGGUAAAGGCCUACCAAGGCGACGAUCCGUAACUGGUCUGAGAGGAUGAUCAGUCACACUGGAACUGAGACACGGUCCAGACUCCUACGGGAGGCAGCAGUGGGGAAUAUUGGACAAUGGGCGAAAGCCUGAUCCAGCCAUGCCGCGUGUGUGAAGAAGGUCUUCGGAUUGUAAAGCACUUUAAGUUGGGAGGAAGGGCAGUAAGUUAAUACCUUGCUGUUUUGACGUUACCAACAGAAUAAGCACCGGCUAACUUCGUG
rnacentral:rRNA from 1 species